UACGUAGGGGCAAGCGUUGUCCGGAUUUAUUGGGCGUAAAGAGCGUGUAGGCGGCCAGGUAGGUCAGCUGUGAAAACUCGAGGCUCAACCUCGAGACGCCGGUUGAAACCAUCUGGCUGGAGUCCGGAAGAGGAGAGUGGAAUUCCUGGUGUAGCGGUGAAAUGCGCAGAUAUCAGGAAGAACACCCGUGGCUAAGGCGGGUCUCUGGGCCAAUACUGACGCUGGAGGAGCGAAAGCGUGGGGAGCGAACAGG
rnacentral:rRNA from 1 species